rnacentral:rRNA from 1 species
GAUGAACGCUAGCGGCAGGCUUAAUACAUGCAAGUCGUGGGGCAGCAUGAAUGUAGCAAUACAUUUGAUGGCGACCGGCAAACGGGUGCGGAACACGUACACAACCUUCCGAUAAGUGGGGAAUAGCCCAGAGAAAUUUGGAUUAAUACCCCGUAACAUAUAGAGGUGGCAUCAUCUUUAUAUUAUAGCUACGGCGCUUAUUGAUGGGUGUGCGGCUGAUUAGAUAGUUGGCGGGGUAACGGCCCACCAAGUCUACGAUCAGUAGCUGAUGUGAGAGCAUGAUCAGCCACACGGGCACUGAGACACGGGCCCGACUCCUACGGGAGGCAGCAGUAAGGAAUAUUGGUCAAUGGACGCAAGUCUGAACCAGCCAUGCCGCGUGAAGGAUUAAGGUCCUCUGGAUUGUAAACUUCUUUUAUCUGGGACGAAAAAAGGCGAUUCUUCGUCACUUGACGGUACCAGAUGAAUAAGCACCGGCUAACUCCGUGCCAGCCGCCGCGGUAACAC